rnacentral:rRNA from 1 species
UACAGAGGUCUCAAGCGUUGUUCGGAUUCAUUGGGCGUAAAGGGUGCGUAGGCGGCGCGGUAAGUCGGGUGUGAAAUCUUGGAGCUUAACUCCGAAACUGCAUUCGAUACUGCCGUGCUUGAGGACUGGAGAGGAGACUGGAAUUUACGGUGUAGCAGUGAAAUGCGUAGAUAUCGUAAGGAAGACCAGUGGCGAAGGCGGAUCUCUGGACAGCUACUGACACUGAGGCACGAAGGCCAGGGGAGCAAACGGG